rnacentral:rRNA from 1 species
GACGAACGCUGGCGGCGUGCCUAAUACAUGCAAGUCGAACGCACUCUCGUUUAGAUUGAAGGAGCUUGCUCCUGAUUGAUAAACAUUUGAGUGAGUGGCGGACGGGUGAGUAACACGUGGGUAACCUGCCCUAAAGUGGGGGAUAACAUUUGGAAACAGAUGCUAAUACCGCAUAAAACCUAAACACCGCAUGGUGUAGGGUUGAAAGAUGGUUUCGGCUAUCACUUUAGGAUGGACCCGCGGUGCAUUAGUUAGUUGGUGAGGUAAAGGCUCACCAAGACCGUGAUGCAUAGCCGACCUGAGAGGGUAAUCGGCCACACUGGGACUGAGACACGGCCCAGACUCCUACGGGAGGCAGCAGUAGGGAAUCUUCCACAAUGGACGAAAGUCUGAUGGAGCAACGCCGCGUGAGUGAAGAAGGUUUCGGAUCGUAAAACUCUAGUUGUUGGAGAAGAAUGUAUCUGAUAGUAACUGAUCAGGUAGUGACGGUAUCCAACCAGAAAGCCAACGG